rnacentral:rRNA from 1 species
UGGGGAAUUUUGGACAAUGGGCGAAAGCCUGAUCCAGCAAUGCCGCGUGUGUGAAGAAGGCCUUCGGGUUGUAAAGCACUUUUGUCCGGAAAGAAAUCCUUGGCUCUAAUACAGUCGGGGGAUGACGGUACCGGAAGAAUAAGCACCGGCUAACUACGUGCCAGCAGCCGCGGUAAUACGUAGGGUGCAAGCGUUAAUCGGAAUUACUGGGCGUAAAGCGUGCGCAGGCGGUUUGCUAAGACCGAUGUGAAAUCCCCGGGCUCAACCUGGGAACUGCAUUGGUGACUGGCAGGCUAGAGUAUGGCAGAGGGGGGUAGAAUUCCACGUGUAGCAGUGAAAUGCGUAGAGAUGUGGAGGAAUACCGAUGGCGAAGGCAGCCCCCUGGGCCAAAUACUGACGCUCAUGCACGAAAGCGUGGGGGAGCAAAACAGGAUUAGAUACCCUGGGUAGUCCACGCCCUAAACGAUGUCAACUAGUUGUUGGGGAUUCAUUUCCUUAGUAACGUAGCUAACGCGUGAAGUUGACCGCCUGGGGAGUACGGUCGCAAGAUUAAAACUCAAAUGAAUUGACGGGGUCAUAGCUGUUUCCU